AUGUGAUGGUGGUGGAAAGUUUUUUCGGCGCAGGAUGUGCUCGCGGCCUAUCAGCUUGUUGGUGAGGUAACGGCUCACCAAGGCUUUGACGGGUAACCGGCCUGAGAGGGUGACCGGUCACACUGGGACUGAGACACGGCCCAGACUCCUACGGGAGGCAGCAGUGGGGAAUAUUGGACAAUGGGCGGAAGCCUGAUCCAGCAACGCCGCGUGAGGGAUGACGGCCUUCGGGUUGUAAACCUCUUUCAGUACCGACGAAGCGAAAGUGACGGUAGGUACAGAAGAAGGACCGGCCAACUACGUGCCAGCAGCCGCGGUAAUACGUAGGGUCCGAGCGUUGUCCGGAAUUAUUGGGCGUAAAGGGCUCGUAGGCGGUUUGUCGCGUCGGGAGUGAAAACACCGGGCUUAACUCGGUGCUUGCUUUCGAUACGGGCAGACUAGAGGUAUGCAGGGGAGAAUGGAAUUCCUGGUGUAGCGGUGAAAUGCGCAGAUAUCAGGAGGAACGCCGGUGGCGAAGGCGGUUCUCUGGGCAUUACCUGACGCUGAGGAGCGAAAGUGUGGGGAGCGAACAGGAUUAGAUACCCUGGUAGUCCACACCGUAAACGUUGGGCGCUAGGUGUGGGGCCUAUUCCAUGGGUUCCGU
rnacentral:rRNA from 1 species